UGAGCUGUGGAUAGGGGUGAAAGGCUAAACAAACUUGGAAAUAGCUGGUUCUCUCCGAAAACUAUUUAGGUAGUGCCUCAAGUAUUACCUGCGGGGUAGAGCACUGUUUAGGCUAGGGGGUCAUGGCGACUUACCAAACCUAUGCAAACUCCGAAUACCGCAGAGUACAGCUUGGGAGACAGAGCACCGGGUGCUAACGUCCGGACUCAAGAGGGAAACAACCCAGACCGCCAGCUAAGGUCCCUAAAAUUGGCUAAGUGGGAAACGAAGUGGGAAGGCUAAAACAGUCAGGAUGUUGGCUUAGAAGCAGCCAUCAUUUAAAGAAAGCGUAAUAGCUCACUGAUCGAGUCGUCCUGCGCGGAAGAUGUAACGGGGCUAAGCCAGUUACCGAAGCUGCGGAUGUGCAAUUUAUUGCACGUGGUAGGAGAGCGUUCUGUAAGCCUGUGAAGGUGCCUGGUAACGGGUGCUGGAGGUAUCAGAAGUGCGAAUGCUGACAUGAGUAGCGUUAAAGCGGGUGAAAAGCCCGCUCGCCGUAAGCGCAAGGUUUCCUACGCAACGUUCAUCGGCGUAGGGUGAGUCGGCCCCUAAGGCGAGGCAGAGAUGCGUAGCUGAUGGGAAACAGGUCAAUAUUCCUGUACCGAUCAAUAGUGCGAUGUGGGGACGGAGAAGGUUAGCUCAGCCAACUGUUGGAUAUGUUGGUUCAAGCCUGUAGUCGUGGUCCUUAGGCAAAUCCGGGGAUCUUAGAUGAGGGGUGAUAACGAGUGUGCUUGCACACGAAGUGAGUGAUACCCUGCUUCCAGGAAAAGCCACUAAGCUUCAGCUAUUGACGACCGUACCGCAAACCGACACUGGUGCGCGAGAUGAGUAUUCUAAGGCGCUUGAGAGAACUCAGGAGAAGGAACUCGGCAAAUUGAUACCGUAACUUCGGGAGAAGGUAUGCCCUAGUAAGUGAAGUUGUACAAAUGGAGCUAAACGGGGUUGCAAAAAAUCGGUGGCUGCGACUGUUUAAUAAAAACACAGCACUCUGCAAACACGAAAGUGGACGUAUAGGGUGUGACGCCUGCCCGGUGCUGGAAGAUUAAAUGAUGGGGUGCAAGCUCUUGAUUGAAGUCCCAGUAAACGGCGGCCGUAACUAUAACGGUCCUAAGGUAGCGAAAUUCCUUGUCGGGUAAGUUCCGACCUGCACGAAUGGCGUAACGAUGGCCACACUGUCUCCUCCUGAGACUCAGCGAAGUUGAAAUGUUUGUGAUGAUGCAAUCUCCCCGCGGAAAGACGGAAAGACCCCAUGAACCUUUACUGUAGCUUUGUAUUGGACUUUGAACGGAUCUGUGUAGGAUAGGUGGGAGGCUUUGAAGUGUGGUCGCUAGAUCACAUGGAGCCAACGUUGAAAUACCACCCUGGUGCGUUUGAGGUUCUAACCUAGGUCCAUUAUCUGGAUCGGGGACAGUGCAUGGUAGGCAGUUUGACUGGGGCGGUCUCCUCCCAAAGCGUAACGGAGGAGUUCGAAGGUACGCUAGUUACGGUCGGACAUCGUGACGAUAGUGCAAUGGCAUAAGCGUGCUUAACUGCGAGACUGACAAGUCGAGCAGAUGCGAAAGCAGGACAUAGUGAUCCGGUGGUUCUGUAUGGAAGGGCCAUCGCUCAACGGAUAAAAGGUACUCUGGGGAUAACAGGCUGAUACCGCCCAAGAGUUCAUAUCGACGGCGGUGUUUGGCACCUCGAUGUCGGCUCAUCUCAUCCUGGGGCUGUAGUCGGUCCCAAGGGUAUGGCUGUUCGCCAUUUAAAGAGGUACGUGAGCUGGGUUUAAAACGUCGUGAGACAGUUUGGUCCCUAUCUUCCGUGGGCGUUGCAGAUUUGAGGAAGCCUGCUCCUAGUACGAGAGGACCGGAGUGGACACACCUCUGGUGUAUCGGUUGUCACGCCAGUGGCAUUGCCGAGUAGCUACGUGUGGAAGAGAUAACCGCUGAAAAGCAUCUAAGCGGGAAACUCGUUUCAAGAUGAGAUCUGCCGGGGCCUUGAGCCCCCUGAAGGGUCGUUGUAGACCACGACGUUGAUAGGCUGGGUGUGGAAGCGCAGUAAUGCGUUAAGCUAACCAGUACUAAUUGCCCGAGCGGCUUGACCCU
rnacentral:rRNA from 1 species